AUUGAACGCUGGCGGCAGGCCUAACACAUGCAAGUCGAACGAGUGGCGGACGGGUGAGUAAUGUCUGGGAAACUGCCAGAUGGAGGGGGAUAACUACUGGAAACGGUAUCUAAUCCCGCAUACCCUCAGGUGUGCCCAGAUGGGUUUAGCUUGGUGGUGGGGUAAGGGCUCACCAAGGCGACGAUCCCUCGCUGGUGUGAGAGGAUGACCAGCCAAACUGGAACUGAGACACGGCCCGGACUCCUACGGGAGGCAGCAGUGGGGAAUAUGGCACAAUGGGCGCAAGCCUGAUGCAGCCAUGCCGCGUGUAUGAAGAAGGCCUUCGGGUUGUAAAGUACGUUCAGCGGGGAGGCGUUACCCGCAGAAGAAGCACCGGCUAACUCCGUGCCAGCAGCCGCGGUAAUUC
rnacentral:rRNA from 1 species